ensembl:lncRNA
CUCUUUCUCUCUCCACAAAAAGAAAGUCUUGGAGUGGGCUUUUUUCUUUCUCUUCAUGUUUGCCCUUUUCCACAUGUAGAGAAGUAACUAUUCUGAUUCCUGUAAUAUGCCCUUGUUUAUAGUGCAGUGGUUCUGUAUUAGGGUGUGCAGUAGAAUCACCUGGAAGGCCUGUGAAAUGGAACGUCUAGGCCCCGCCCCUGGGGAUUUCUGAUUGGUGGGUCUGGGCCCAAUAAGCCUGUGUUUCCAAGUUCCCAGGUGGUGCCAAUGCUGCGCCGCCAAGUCUCAGGCUGGGAACCACCGCUUUAGGUCCACAGUCUCCUCCCUAGAAGCCUCAGGAAACAAUAAAUUCAAAAUAAAUUAGCCUUCAAAUCAGAUGGAAAGAUACAUUCAUCCUUUAAGUCCUAUUGUGAGGAGGUGAAUUACAAAUGGAAACUUCAGGGCAGAGGAUGUGUGUUUCAUCACUUUUCUAGCUUAUCAGUGCACCUGUUCUCUGCCCAGAGCCAUGACUGAUCUUUACUGCUUUGUUAUAUGAAUCGGAAAAAUUUCCCCUCUAGAUUUUUUACAUUGCUCGGCAGGGGAACGUGCCUUGCUAAGUAGAGGUAGGCAUCUCUUCCUUGGGUGAACGCAGCCUGGAAACAGCACACAAGCUUGGCAGUGUCACAACAACCUCAUGGAAGAGGCAGUAGGGGGAUGCUGCUGCAGAUGGUGCGUGAGAGAGGAAGAAGUUCCUUCAUUCAGAGGCAUCCACUCAACUGAUUCUGCUGCUGCUGCUGCUGCUAAGUCACUUCAGUUGUGUCCAACUCUGUGCGACCCCAUAGACGGCAGCCCACCAGGCUCCCCUGUCCCUGGGAUUCUCCAGGCAAGAACACAGGAGUGGGUUGCCAUUCCUUCUCCAAUGCAUGAAAGUGAAAAGUGAAAGUGAAGUCACUCAGUCAUGUCCGACUUUUAGUGACCCCAUGGACUGCAGCCCAUCAGGCUCCUCCAUCCAUGGAAUUUUCCAGGCAAGAGUACUGGAGUGGGUUCCCAUUGCCUUCUCCAUUUUAGAUUCUAUAUAUAAGUGAAAACAGAUUUUUAUCUUCCUCUGUCUGAUUUUUUUCACUAACUAUAGUAACCUCCAGGUCUAUAUGUGUUGCAAAUAACAAGAUUUCAUUCUUUUAUAUAGCUGCAUAAUUUUCCAGUGUGUGUACAUCUAUCUCAUAUCUUUUUUAUCCAUCUGUUUGUUGAUGAACACUUAGGUUGCUUCUGUUAUCUCGGCUAUUGUAAAUAUGCUGCAAUAAAAAUUAAAACUAACUUUUCAAAUUAGUGUUUUCAUUUUCUUUAGAUGUAUGCCCAGGAGUAGAAUUGCUGGAUCACAUGGUAGUUCUAUUUUUAGUUUUUCUGAGGAACCUGCCUACUGUUCUCCAUAGCAGCUGCACCAAUUUACCUAUUUACAUUCCUAUCGAAGUGUACUAGGAGCCCUGGUCUUCAUAUCUCUCUGAUACUUGUUACUUCUUGUCUUUAGGACUACCGUCAUCCUAACAACUGUGAGGUGGUAUCUCACACUGGUUUUGAUGUGCAUUUUCCUGAUGAUUAGUGGUGGGGAGCAUCUUUUCAUGUGCCGGCUGGCCAUCUACAUGUCUUUUUGGAAAAACGACUCUCUCUUCUUCAAUUCUGAAUGAUAACUUUGCUGGGUCAUAUCAUUGGUUGUAGUUUUUGUUUUUGUUUUUUUUUCCCUCCCCCCUCUUUAAGAACU